UGGGGAAUCUUGCGCAAUGGGCGAAAGCCUGACGCAGCCAUGCCGCGUGAAUGAUGAAGGUCUUAGGAUUGUAAAAUUCUUUCACCGGGGACGAUAAUGACGGUACCCGGAGAAGAAGCCCCGGCUAACUUCGUGCCAGCAGCCGCGGUAAUACGAAGGGGGCUAGCGUUGCUCGGAAUUACUGGGCGUAAAGGGCGCGUAGGCGGAUCGUUAAGUCAGAGGUGAAAUCCCAGGGCUCAACCCUGGAACUGCCUUUGAUACUGGCGAUCUUGAGUAUGAGAGAGGUAUGUGGAACUCCGAGUGUAGAGGUGAAAUUCGUAGAUAUUCGGAAGAACACCAGUGGCGAAGGCGAGAUACUGGCUCAUUACUGACGCUGAGGCGCGAAAGCGUGGGGAGCAAACAGG
rnacentral:rRNA from 1 species